UAUUUCUAGGCUAAAUGCUAAAAACAGCACAUUUUUUAGAUUUUUAUUUGUAAAAAAAGCACAUACAAUCUUUCUUCAUUUAGAGUUCCUAUAAAAUACAAUGACACUUGCGACUGUAAUGUC